rnacentral:rRNA from 1 species
CCCGGGCCUUGUACACACCGCCCGUCACACCACGAAAGUCGGCAACACCCGAAGUCAGUGGCCCAACCCGCAAGGGAGGGAGCUGCCGAAGGUGGGGUUGGUGAUUGGGGUG